rnacentral:rRNA from 1 species
GACGAACGCUGGCGGCGUGCCUAAUACAUGCAAGUCGAGCGAAGUUUUUCUGGUGCUUGCACUAGAAAAACUUAGCGGCGAACGGGUGAGUAACACGUAAAGAACCUGCCUCAUAGACUGGGACAACUAUUGGAAACGAUAGCUAAUACCGGAUAACAGUAUUUCUCGCAUGUGAGAUAUUUAAAAGUUGGUUAUGCUAACACUAUGAGAUGGCUUUGCGGUGCAUUAGCUAGUUGGUGGGGUAAAGGCCCACCAAGGCGACGAUGCAUAGCCGACCUGAGAGGGUGAUCGGCCACACUGGGACUGAGACACGGCCCAGACUCCUACGGGAGGCAGCAGUAGGGAAUCUUCCGCAAUGGGCGAAAGCCUGACGGAGCAACGCCGCGUGAGUGAAGAAGGAUUUCGGUUCGUAAAGCUCUGUUGUUAGGGAAGAAUGGAUAUGUAGUAACUAUACAUGUAAGAGACGGUACCUAACCAGAAAGCCACGGCUAACUACGUG